rnacentral:misc_RNA from 1 species
GGAAGUAUAAGUCGUAACAAGGUCUCCGUUGGUGAACCAGCGGAGGGAUCAUUACCGAGUUUACAACUCCCAAACCCCAUGUGAACCUUACCAAACGUUGCUUCGGCGGGAUGCCCCGGGCGCGGGCCGCAAGGCCUCAGCCCCGGAACCAGGCGCCCGCCGGAGGCCCAAACCAAACUCUUGUUUUUGUAGAAUCUUCUGAGUGGCCUUUUAGGCAAAAAAUGAAUCAAAACUUUCAACAACGGAUCUCUUGGUUCUG